UAGUCAGAUUAAGUUUUGGUUAAUAAUAUUCUAGAAACCUAAAGAGCUACUUUAAAAUAAAAAAUAGUUUUUAAAUAAGUGAAUGUGGCAGAAUUCUUUAGAAAUUUUAAAGUAGGAGUGAUAUUCUAUUCGUGUUAGGUGAUAGCUAGUUUCAACAGAAAUAUAUUUUAGUAUAGGUACUAAAUAGCUUGGAGUUGGAUAAGAUCACAAGUAUUUUAGUUUCUUAUUUUUAUGGGGAUAAGCUCAUAUAAUUGAUGUAUAAUAUUUAAAAAAGUUAUAUCGAAAAAUUUAGGCUUGAAAUUAGCCAUAAUUAGAAGUUUGUUUUAGAAUAUUUUUGGUUUGUUUUAGAAAUUUGUUUGAUUUAUGUUGAUUAAUUUUGUAUUUUAUAAUAAUUGGGUUUAUGCUAGGAUGAGUAUUAAUUUAUAUUGAUAAAUAAGCUAAUUUAGAUUUGUUUAAUAUUAGAAUAAUAGGUUUUAAAAAAGUUUUUAAGGAACUCGGCAAAAACAUGCUUCGCCUGUUUAGCAAAAACAUGGCUCUUUG
rnacentral:rRNA from 1 species